CCUACGGGAGGCAGCAGUGAGGAAUAUUGGUCAAUGGACGAGAGUCUGAACCAGCCAAGUAGCGUGAAGGAUGACUGCCCUAUGGGUUGUAAACUUCUUUUAUAUGGGAAUAAAAUGUUCCACGUGUGGGAUUUUGUAUGUACCAUAUGAAUAAGGAUCGGCUAACUCCGUGCCAGCAGCCGCGGUAAUACGGAGGAUCCGAGCGUUAUCCGGAUUUAUUGGGUUUAAAGGGAGCGUAGAUGGAUUGUUAAGUCAGUUGUGAAAGUUUGCGGCUCAACCGUAAAAUUGCAGUUGAAACUGGCAGUCUUGAGUACAGUAGAGGUGGGCGGAAUUCGUGGUGUAGCGGUGAAAUGCUUAGAUAUCACGAAGAACUCCGAUUGCGAAGGCAGUUCACUGGACUGCAACUGACACUGAGGCUCGAAAGUGUGGGUAUCAAACAGGAUUAGAUACCCGUGUAGUC
rnacentral:rRNA from 1 species